UACGGGGGGGGCAAGCGUUGUCCGGAUUUACUGGGCGUAAAGGGCGCGUAGGCGGUCGUGACAAGUCACUUGUGAAAUCUCCGGGCUUAACUCGGAACGGUCAAGUGAUACUGUCGGACUAGAGUACAGAAGGGGCAACUGGAAUUCUCGGUGUAGCGGUGAAAUGCGUAGAUAUCGAGAGGAACACCUGCGGCGAAGGCGGGUUGCUGGGCUGAUACUGACGCUGAGGCGCGAAAGCCAGGGGAGCGAACGGG
rnacentral:rRNA from 1 species